rnacentral:rRNA from 1 species
AAGCGUUGUUCGGAUUCAUUGGGCGUAAAGGGUGCGUAGGCGGCGCGGUAAGUCGGAUGUGAAAUCUCGGAGCUUAACUCCGAAACUGCAUUCGAUACUGCCGUGCUUGAGGACUGGAGAGGAGACUGGAAUUUACGGUGUAGCGGUGAAAUGCGUAGAUAUCGUAAGGAAGACCAGUGGCGAAGGCGGGUCUCUGGACAGUUCCUGACGCUGAGGCACGAAGGCCAGGGGAGCAAACGGG